rnacentral:tRNA from 1 species
CGGGACAUAGCGCAGCUUGGUAGCGUAUCUGCUUUGGGAGCAGGGGGUCACGUGUUCGAAUCACGUUGUCCCGA